rnacentral:rRNA from 1 species
UAGGGAAUCUUCGGCAAUGGGGGCAACCCUGACCGAGCAACGCCGCGUGAGUGAAGAAGGUUUUCGGAUCGUAAAGCUCUGUUGUAAGUCAAGAACGAGUGUGAGAGUGGAAAGUUCACACUGUGACGGUAGCUUACCAGAAAGGGACGGCUAACUACGUGCCAGCAGCCGCGGUAAUACGUAAGGUCCCGAGCGUUGUCGAGAUUUAUUGGGAAAACGAGCGCAGGCGGUUUGAUAANNCCGAAGUUAAAGGGGUGGCGCGGCUCAACCAUAGUUCGCUUUGGAAACUGUCAAACUUGAGUGCAGAAGGGGAGAGUGGAAUUCCAUGUGUAGCGGUGAAAUGCGUAGAUAUAUGGAGGAACACCGGUGGCGAAAGCGGCUCUCUGGUCUGUAACUGACGCUGAGGCUCGAAAGCGUGGGGAGCGAACAGGAUUAGAUACCCUGGUAGUCCACGCCGUAAACGAUGAGUGCUAGGUGUUGGAUCCUUUCCGGGAUUCAGUGCCGCAGCUAACGCAUUAAGCACUCCGCCUGGGGAGUACGACCGCAAGGUUG